rnacentral:rRNA from 1 species
CAAUAGCGUAUAUUAAAGUUGUUGCGGUUAAAAAGCUCGUAGUUGGAUUUCUGCUGAGAACGACCGGUCCGCCCUCUGGGUGUGUAUCUGGCUCUUUCUUGGCAUCUUCUUGGUGAACGUUGCUGCACUUGACUGUGUGGAGCGCUACCCAGGACUUUUACUUUGAGGAAAUUAGAGUGUUUCAAGCAGGCAUACGCCUUGAAUACAUUAGCAUGGAAUAAUAAGAUAGGACCUCGGUUCUAUUUUGUUGGUUUCUAGAGCUGAGGUAAUGAUUAAUAGGGAUAGUUGGGGGCAUUCGUAUUUAACUGUCAGGGGUGAAAUUCUUGGAUUUGUUAAAGACGGACUACUGCGAAAGCAUUUGCCAAGGAUGUUUUCAUUG